rnacentral:sRNA from 1 species
GUUUAGCCCUGAUUGAAGUGACAUCCUUUUUGCUUUUUUGCAAAAAGAUAUAACGGAAAGCAGGAAUUAGC